rnacentral:tRNA from 1 species
AGAAAAGUAAGCUAAAUUCAAGCUAAUGGGUUCAUACCCCACUUAUAGAGACAUCUCUCUUUUCUA